GAUGAACGCUAGCGGCAGGCUUAAUACAUGCAAGUCGAACGGUAACAGGUCUUCGGACGCUGACGAGUGGCGAACGGGUGAGUAAUACAUCGGAACGUGCCCAGUCGUGGGGGAUAACUACUCGAAAGAGUAGCUAAUACCGCAUACGAUCUGAGGAUGAAAGCGGGGGACCUUCGGGCCUCGCGCGAUUGGAGCGGCCGAUGGCAGAUUAGGUAGUUGGUGGGAUAAAAGCUUACCAAGCCGACGAUCUGUAGCUGGUCUGAGAGGACGACCAGCCACACUGGGACUGAGACACGGCCCAGACUCCUACGGGAGGCAGCAGUGGGGAAUUUUGGACAAUGGGCGAAAGCCUGAUCCAGCAAUGCCGCGUGCAGGAUGAAGGCCUUCGGGUUGUAAACUGCUUUUGUACGGAACGAAAAAGCUUCUCCUAAUACGAGAGGCCCAUGACGGUACCGUAAGAAUAAGCACCGGCUAACUACGUGCCAGCAGCCGCGGUAAGAC
rnacentral:rRNA from 1 species